rnacentral:rRNA from 1 species
UACAGAGGGGGCAAGCGUUGUUCGGAAUUACUGGGCGUAAAGGGCGCGUAGGCGGCCUUCUAAGUCGAACGUGAAAUCCCCGGGCUCAACCCGGGAACUGCGCCCGAUACUGGAAGGCUUGAAUCCGGGAGAGGGAUGCGGAAUUCCAGGUGUAGCGGUGAAAUGCGUAGAUAUCUGGAGGAACACCGGUGGCGAAGGCGGCAUCCUGGACCGGCAUUGACGCUGAGGCGCGAAAGCCAGGGGAGCAAACGGG